UGCGCUAGCCGGCGGCCGGCGGCACGUGUCUAAUGGUACGUUUACACGCUUGCCAAGCCUUCGCAAGCGGCAAACAGCUCCAAGCCUCCACAAAUCUCGUUUGGCGUUUGAAAGGAGUUUACACGCUUGGGAACGCGUCAGUCUGCAAGAUAGAUCCAAGCAUGGCGGACACCGAACUUGUAACGGCUAUUGCAUUUGGUUUAUCGUACUUUUAUUUAAAAUGCAAGCAAAGUGAAACAAAAAAAAGAAAAACUCGACGACAACGAAGAUGGUGGAUGAAAAAGAUUCAUCGAAAUCGUACCAGACAAUUUAUAGAAGAGAAAUUUAAUGAACUUUUAUAUGAACCUUCUGGCGAGUUUGAUAACUUCUGCCGAAUGAGCUAUACCGAUUUUGAAUUUUUACUGCAGAAAAUUUCACCAAUGAUAUCCAAGCAAGAUACAGACUUCAGAGAUGCUAUACCGGCCAAAUUUCGUCUUGCCAUUACGCUACGAUUUUUAGCAUCUGGUGAUUCUUACAAAAGCCUUCACUACAUGUUUAAAGUAUCUGUCUCUAUGAUAUCAAUAACCAUUCGUGAAGUUUGCCGAUCUCUUAAUGAAAUUCUAAAGGAUCUAGUUAAGAUGCCCACCACAGCAGAAGGAUGGCUUAAUAUUGAAGAAGGAUUCAGGACCAAAUUUCCACAUUGCAUAGGGUCAUUGGAUGGCAAGCAUGUAGUCAUUGAAAGCCCAACUCAUAGUGGAACAGAAUAUUUCAAUUAUAAAAAAACUUUUAGCAUUGUCCUUUUGGCGUUAGUGGAUAGCAAAUACAAAUUUGUAUUUGCAGACAUCGGGAGUCAAGGAAGAAUAAGUGACGGUGGCGUGUUUAAUAAUUGUUUACUAUGGAAAAGAAUAUGUAGGAACGAGAUAGAUUUUCCACCGCCAUGUCCACUUCCAGGAUCGAAUAUUAAUAUUCCAUACGUGUUUUUAGCUGACGGUGCUUUUGCAUUGAGUCAACACGUAAUGAAGCCCUACCCUGGAAACCAUGAAGUAGGCUCACCAAAAAGGCUAUUUAACCAAAACUUAUCUAAAUCCCGAGUUGUAGUUGAAAAUACGUUUGGAAUUUUAACCUCGGUUUUUAGAAUAUUCAGACGUCCUAUCGAUUUAGAACCACAAACUGUGACAGAAUUUACGAUGACUUGUGUAUUACUACAUAACUUUUUGAGAACAAGUAAAAGUUCUUCAAAUCGAUAUAUUCCUCAGGGUUCGUUAGACGUAUAUGACAGUAGUGGAAAUAUGGUUACACCUGGUUCAUGGCGCAGAGAUAACGACGGAUAUAAUGCAUUGCAAACAUUACCACAAAUACCACGAAGAUCUCCGCUGAAUGCCAAAGAAGUCAGAGAAGAAUUUACUUCAUAUUUUAAUAGGAUUGGAUAAGUUGAUAAAAAUGUAUAAAUAAAUUUAUAAUAAGUAA